rfam:Myotis davidii contig201214, whole genome shotgun sequence.
ACAACCCUAUGGAGCAGGACUUGCUUCAGUGGGACUUUGGUCCUCACUGAGUCUGCCCCAUGAGUGUGUAGCU